GAUUUCUCACAAACUGGAGCUCAGAUGAGGCCAAAAAGCAUCUCCAGUUAGCAUAAAAAACGUAGAGAUUCAACAGUUGAAUAAGAGGCCAAAACAUCUCACGGGGCCAAUAUGGCAGAGCCCUUAGGCAUUCUAUGUCCAUUUAGAAACUAGGACUUUCAGCAAGUAUAGGUGUUCCUAGGGUACCAUACCCAUAAAAUCAAACCCCUAGAGCAGAGUCACCGCAAACACAACAUAGACAGCAUAGCUAUCACCACAGUUGCUCCAAAUCGAGAGACCCCCUGCAUGCAGUCACAACACCACAGAGAACGUCUAUCUCCGGGCUCCCUCUCUAGUGGAAAGCACAACUAGCAACCCAAUCAACAAAAGAUCCUACCAUUUACAAUCUUAUCCAGAGGUGGAGGGAAGGAAACCCACUUUCGAGCAAGGACGAUUGCCAUCCCCUACCUGGAUAGGGUAGGGGACAGCCACACAGAGGCAGUGAAACGAGUAAGUCGCCUAUGGAAGGGAAGAAUAGAACAAGAGAAAAAAGAAAGUUUGCGGCUCUGCCAAAAUAGCUAUUGUAAUUGAGAAUUAUAAAUGGUAGAUAGGCUCUAUAUGCACUCCAAUUGCAUCAAGAUAGUAACCACACCUUCCAUGGAACCCAGUGACCUUGUCACCAUGUCCCCAGCCGAUGCCAGUGAAAAGUGAUUUCCCUUGUUUAAGCCAAAUGGUCCAUAGGUUUUUCUGUUGCUUUGAAAUGUAAGAGACUGCACAAUCUCUAAACCAU
rnacentral:misc_RNA from 1 species